ACCUUCAUUCUGCAUUAACCUUUUAAGCUCUUUUGUGUGCAUGCUUUGAGUUCUAGGGAAGAAGUAUGGUACAAUUUCUCUAUGGUAAAGUAAAGUAUCAAUCUACAGAGGAAAGGUAAUAGCUGACAAGAUUUGUCAUCUGAGGCAUUUAUCCUGCAGGUUUACCCCAAAGUGAUCGUUGGAAUCCAUUCAGUAAAUAUGCAAGGAAUUUUGCUACAGUGAUAAAAAAUGAAUCAAGUGCUGCAUGUUUACACAUGUCCUGCAGCUGAAUGAAGUGGACAUUUCUACCCAGUUUUACAGAGGAGGAAAACUGCAUCUCUGGAAAAUGAAGUAAUUGAUUCAAGGCAAAAACAGCUAGUAAAUGGUACUGUCAGGAUUUAUAUUCAGGUUCUUAUUUUACUCAAGAAAUAGCAUUUUUAAAAAGAGCGAGAGAAACCUCUCCAUUGUGUAAUAAAAAUUCCAAUGUGACUCUUAUUCUGAGCAAAAGAGAAAAACAUUUUUACAGAUCAUCUGGUCAGUGUAUAGGCAAACUAUAGACUGGCUGUUUAGUUAAAUUUAGGUGUUCAGAAAAAAUAGAUUUGAUGUACAUAGAUACUAACAUUUUUAAGCUCUUUUCUAAGGAGGACCAUGGUGUAACCCAUUCCUAAAGUGUGGAGAAAAAUGUUUCUCAUUAAAACAAGAUUUAUGAAGAGACUAACAAUUUGGAAAAAAAAAAUGAAAUUGUCCAGUAAUUGAUCUGGUCAUUCAAAUAAUUACUAUCAGAAGAAAGGCCCCUUCUCUUGCCACCUUGCCCUAGAAUCAAGAGACUGCCCUUGCCUUUGUCCACAUAUAUCUUAGAUGACUAUUAGCCAUUUUCAUCUGUAGCUCAGGGAUCUAAGAAAACUGUGGACAACAGACACUACAGUUAUAUUUCCUCCCCUGUGUUGCCUGUUAGUUGCAAAUUAGAACAGAAAUUCCAAAAACCUUUAUACUGUUUUUGGAUGAUGACAGGAGAGACUUCCUUAAAAAAAAGAGGAUACAACUAAGGGAUUUCCACAAAAUCCCCGUUGUCAGAAUCCUGGAAGAGGUAACAUUUCUGCUUUUUCAAUAUUAAAAUAGAAAUUAAUUUUUUUAAAAAAAUAGAGAACUUGAACUAGAUAGAAUUUGAAAAAUGUUAAGGUUAUUUGUUUUGUGUGAGCUUUCUCCUUAAAAAAAAAAA